UACGGAGGGGGCUAGCGUUGUUCGGAAUUACUGGGCGUAAAGCGCGCGUAGGCGGCUUAGCAAGUUAGAGGUGAAAGCCCGGAGCUUAACUCCGGAAUUGCCUUUAAAACUGCAAAGCUAGAAUCAUGGAGAGGUGAGUGGAAUUCCGAGUGUAGAGGUGAAAUUCGUAGAUAUUCGGAAGAACACCAGUGGCGAAGGCGACUCACUGGACACAUAUUGACGCUGAGGUGCGAAAGCGUGGGGAGCAAACAGG
rnacentral:rRNA from 1 species